rnacentral:sRNA from 1 species
AAUCAAAACAAGAAGGGAUGAUGGGUGGACAAUGAUUAACUAAUCUUAUUUUUACCGUUUGAAAUCAAUAUUUCAAAUCAGAAAAAAUAGGAUUAGUCUGCCCAUUUUCUAUAUAUACGACACCGCUAUUUAUAAAGAAUAGCUUAUUUGAUCAUGCACAGGCACGGCUAAUCCUUCCAACACAUUUGGGAGGAUUUUUUU